ACCAAUCAGACGCAACCGGUGUAAGCAAAGGAUGAUGGGAGAACGGAGAGACCCGUUUAUAAGAAUAAGAAAAUGAGGCGGAACUGAUUGAUUCUAAUGCAGCUUGAAAAUGAGUGAUUCAGAGGAUCCCGAGCUGGAGGAAGAGCUUCAGGCUGCUGACGAACUCCUUCAAGAUAUGCAGAAUGAUGCACAGAGUGAACCUCAGCCAAGACCAGUGCGCUGGAAAAAACGUGACAGACAGGGAGAUUUUAU